rnacentral:rRNA from 1 species
GGUCAGGCUGAAGACCUUACCCGGAUUAGCUGAGAGGUGGUGCAUGGCCGUCGUCAGUUCGUACUGUGAAGCAUCCUGUUAAGUCAGGCAACGAGCGAGACCCACGUCCACAGUUGCCAGCAUACCCUCCGGGGUGAUGGGUACACUGUGGAGACCGCCGCUGCUAAAGCGGAGAAGGAGUGGGCAACGGUAGGUCAGUAUGCCCCGAAUCUCCCGGGCUACACGCGGGCUACAAUGGUUGGUACAAUGGGCAUCUACCCCGAAAGGGGAAGGAAAUCUCUUAAAGCCAAUCGUAGUUCGGAUUGAGGGCUGCAACUCGCCCUCAUGAAGCUGGAAUCCGUAGUAAUCGCGUUUCAACAGAACGCGGUGAAUACGUCCCUGCUCCUU